UUUUAUGGAGUAGAGCUCCUUGAAGUCCAAUGGAGGAUCUUGCAAGGUUGAUUAUGCUGCUAUGCUAUGGAUCCCAUAGUUCUACCCAAAUAACAUUCUUUUGGGGUAGUUCUACGGCUUCCAUAUCUUGGGAGCUUCAUUACCUAUAGUUAGAUCCUUAUUUGGAUUGAAGGGAGCUCUACACUUUUCUCCU
rfam:Lupinus angustifolius cultivar Tanjil contig_46984, whole genome shotgun sequence.